GCGGCGUGCCUAACACAUGCAAGUCGAACGGAACUGUUUUGAAAGAUUUCUUCGGAAUGAAUUUGAUUUAGUUUAGUGGCGGACGGGUGAGUAACGCGUGAGUAACCUGCCUUCAAGAGGGGGAUAACAUUCUGAAAAGAAUGCUAAUACCGCAUGACAUAUCGGAACCACAUGGUUUUGAUAUCAAAGAUUUUAUCGCUUGAAGAUGGACUCGCGUCCGAUUAGUUAGUUGGUGAGGUAACGGCUCACCAAGACCGCGAUCGGUAGCCGGACUGAGAGGUUGAACGGCCACAUUGGGACUGAGACACGGCCCAGACUCCUACGGGAGGCAGCAGUGGGGGAUAUUGCGCAAUGGGGGCAACCCUGACGCAGCAACGCCGCGUGAAGGAUGAAGGUUUUCGGAUUGUAAACUUCUUUUAUUAAGGACGAAAAAUGACGGUACUUAAUGAAUAAGCUCCGGCUAACUACGUGCCAGCAGCCGCGGUAAUACGUAGGGAGCAAGCGUUGUCCGGAUUUACUGGGUGUAAAGGGUGCGUAGGCGGCUUUGCAAGUCAGAUGUGAAAUCUAUGGGCUCAACCCAUAAACUGCAUUUGAAACUGUAGAGCUUGAGUGAAGUAGAGGCAGGCGGAAUUCCCCGUGUAGCGGUGAAAUGCGUAGAGAUGGGGAGGAACACCAGUGGCGAAGGCGGCCUGCUGGGCUUUAACUGACGCUGAGGCACGAAAGCGUGGGUAGCAAACAGGAUUAGAUACCCUGGUAGUCCACGCUGUAAACGAUGAUUACUAGGUGUGGGGGGUCUGACCCCUUCCGUGCCGGAGUUAACACAAUAAGUAAUCCACCUGGGGAGUACGGCCGCAAGGUUGA
rnacentral:rRNA from 1 species